CUCCGGGGAUAACAGGCUGAUACCGCCCAAGAGUUCAUAUCGACGGCGGUGUUUGGCACCUCGAUGUCGGCUCAUCACAUCCUGGGGCUGAAGCCGGUCCCAAGGGUAUGGCUGUUCGCCAUUUAAAGUGGUACGCGAGCUGGGUUUAGAACGUCGUGAGACAGUUCGGUCCCUAUCUGCCGUGGACGUUUGAGAUUUGAGAGGGGCUGACCUUAGUACGAGAGGACCGGGUUGGACGAACCUCUGGUGUUCCGGUUGUAUCGCCAGAUGCAUUGCCGGGUAGCUACGUUCGGAAGAGAUAACCGCUGAAAGCAUCUAAGCGGGAAACUUGCCUCAAGAUGAGAUCUCACUGGAGCCUUGAGCUCCCUAAAGGGUCGUCGAAGACUACGACGUUGAUAGGCUGGGUGUGUAAGCGUUGUGAGGCGUUGAGCUAACCAGUACUAAUUGCCCGUGAGGCUUGACCAU
rnacentral:rRNA from 1 species